rnacentral:misc_RNA from 1 species
UUGCAGCCCCGAUAGAAGCAAGUAUCCUGCGCUUUUGGGCGCAGAUACUGCGAAUAGCGGGAGAGAAA